UUCAUUUUUUUAAUAAGUUUAUAAGAUUCCACCAAACUCACACGAAAACCUAAGUUUAUUUUUCUCUGAUUCAAGAUAUGGCAGCGAGUGCAAACCAAAGCCCAAAUUCUUGCCCACCUUUCUGUCGACUAAACCGCCUUUCAUUCAUAUCAAUCUUCAACCAGAAACAACUUCAACCCUUGGGGCAUUGUUUUGGUGGUGUAUUUGGCAAAGGAGACGAUGUUGGUGGUAGAAUCGAAAUGGGUACAUGCUUAAUUGGUGGUGGAUGAUGGCGUUUUUGGUGGUGGAAUUGGAAUGUGUUGCGAUUUAAUUGGCAGGCCUGGUGGUAGAUCUUCUCAAUCAACUCAGAUCUUCUCAAUCAACUCGUUAAUAUUCUGGCGAGCGAGUAGGUGAUUCGGCAAUGAUUGGAGAUUUGGGUUUUUUACCAAAAUUUCGAGGCUUGAAGGUAGAAUUAUCUCAAUCAGGUAGUUAAUCGUUCUGAGAAAGUCGUAGAAAGGCACUUCGACAUCUUGCUGUUGACUUUCUUGGUGUGGAGAUCCAGACUGGAGAGCAUUGUCCUUGUGCAAGAUCGACAAGGGUUUACUUUAAGUUUGACAACAUUAGUCGGUUGAAUUCUAAGAUUAGAGUUGAUUCAGUGCUAAAGAUGAUUAUUGAUUCAUUGGAGGUCACUUCUUCAAUGAAAGGGCAGGAGGCAAGGGAUUGUCUUUUGGGCUGUCUUUUUUGCUAUGGUGCCAAUGCAAGGUCUGGCAGAUUGAAAGAAGAAUGUGGGUCUGACAGAAAUAGUCGUUAGUUACAUCAAAGAAGGCAGCACAAAAGGUGUUUAAGUCGAAGUCUCGUAAUCAAGUUGUGGACUUGAGGGUUUAGGGAGGUACUUCAAUCUAAGUUGAAUGAAGCAAACGAACAAAAUCAUGUGCUUACCAAUCGCGUGGAUACGAUACAUGAAGAAAGCAAUGCAAUUAAGAGCCGCAUGAGUUCAGUUGAAGAUGAACUUAAAUCAUUUAAAGACGUGUUACUACAACGGCUCGAGGCUCCAAGAGAGGACACUUAAUCUAUUUAGAUUUUAUUUUGUUAUUUUAGAUUGAACAUGAGUUAUUUAUUUAUUAGUUUUAUAGAGUUUAAAGGCAAGGGGAUGUGAUUGUUGGGUUCACGUAACUUGAAGUUCUAUUGUCAAUAAUUUUUUGAGUAAUGAAAUUUUCAUUUGUUUUAAUUGA